rnacentral:tRNA from 1 species
GGUUCGGUAGCUCAGCUGGUUAGAGCGCACGACUCAUAAUCGUGAGGUCGGGAGUUCAAGUCUCCCCCGAACCA